AAAUCUUUCACAAGCUCAAAAAUGGUUCCGGUUGGAAGAAAAACAUGGCCGCCAGGGGGCAGGGCAGUUUUCCUAUUAUGGCUAUAGUAAAACUUGUUCACACUGUAAAAGUCAAAUUUAUGGUCCAAUCUUCAUGAAACUUAGUCAGAACAUUUGUUCUAAUGAUAUCUUGGACGAAAUCAAUUAUGGUUCCAAUUGGUUGAAAAACAUGGCUGCCAGGUGGCGGGCCAGUUUUCCUUACAUGGCUAUAGUAAAACCUUGUUAUAACGCUAAAAGUCACAUUUGUGGUCCAAUGUUUAUGAAACUUGGUCAGAAUAUUUGUACUUAUGAUAUCUGGGCUCAGAUAGAAAAUGGUUUAGGUCCGUUUAAAACAUGGCCGCAAGGGGGCGUGGCAUUUUUCCUAAUAUGGCUAUUUAGUAAUGUUAACACUAGAAGUCGCAAUAAUUAUCCAAUCUUCAUGAAACUUGAUCAGAACAUUUAUUCUAACAAUAGCUCAGCUGAGUUUGAAAAUGGUUAAAAUACGUUCAAAAAUAUCGCCGCCCGGAAGGGGGGGGGGCAGUUGUCCUUAUAUGGCUUUAUUGAAAACUUGUUGACGCUAUAUUAGCCUCAUUUAUUGGCCAAUCUACAUGAAACUUGGUCAAAACAUUAUUUUGUCCCAAUGAAAUCUUAGCGAAGAUUGAAAAUGGGUCAUAUGAGCUUAAAAACUAGGUCACUAGAUCAAAUAUAAAAAAAAACUUGUUGAAAGUCACUUUUUUGGUCUAAUCUUCAUGAAUCAGCUUGCAUUUGUCCAGAAUAGUCUAGUACCUUUUGCUCUCAGGUGAGCGCCUUAGGGCCUAACAGCCCUCUUGUUUUAAAUGACUUGCAUCUUAUUGUUGUGUUAAGUAUCUUGCCUUUAAGUAUUUCCCAUAAGGUGUGUGGAUUUGCAUCUUUGUUAUCUUAAACUGUAUUGGUUAUUACCUGUUAUAUUUGUGUUUGAUAUUGUGUAUCUUUUCAAAAGCUAUUAUUUACUUUAAAAAAAAGAACAUUUUGAAUAACAUAAUUGAAAACUACAAUUACAUAAACAUAUGGCAUACAGUUAAUCAUAAUGAAAAAAAAUACACCUGGCACUCAAACACAAAACCAGCAAUAUUUUGGAGAUAAUAUUUUUUUAAAUAUGCGAGUCUAUUGCAACAUUAUCGAAACAUGCAACAUAAAACCAGGAUUUAUGACUGAUCACUCGAUAGUUGAACUUUAACUGCAUGAAAUACAACCUGAAAUAGCCGAAGGUACUUUAAAGAUUUCCAUUUCUUUUAUCUCUAAUAAUGGGUUAAGAACAAUAUUGAAAUCCUCUCCGACUAUCUAUGUUCGGACCGUAAACGUUCAUUAAUGUUAAUUGUGUUUCGUGUAUUUUUAUAUCUAUACUUGCUUGUCUGCCAAUCAUUAUUACGUUCAAGUAAUCCACUGUUAUUCCUGUAUGACUUUUACUCAGACAAGCGAUGCCUUGUUUAUUUGUAUGUUGUCCGCUAAGAUAAAUAUCUCCGUCCCAACCACUUUUUAAUGUUUUUGCUAAGGUAUGUUUUAGGUGACUUUCCUGUAUAAAAAAGACUUAUAAUACCUUUUUUGUUUAACCAUUUGAAACUUUUAGUGCAUUUAUCUUUGUUAUUUAGCCCUUGUACAUUUACAGUACAUAUGUUAAUACUCACACAAAAGAACGAAAAUUGCAUGAUACCAUUCUUGUUCCAAACAUUUUAAAAUCAUUUUGUAGAGCUAGAUUAUUAGUUAGUUCAUUAUGUCAAGUUAUAUUAAGCUUUGAUGUUAAAAACAAUUACUUUCCAUGUUCUACAGGUUGUUGAAACAUUGUAUUCAUUAAAUUGAUCUCAGCACUAA